UUCUUGUGUGAUAAAGUGUCUCUUUUCGUGUGUGGUGUGGUGUGUGUGUGGUGUGUGUGAUGUGUGUGUGAUGUAGAUUAAAAAUGACUGGGCCAAAACGGACAUGGCAGCAAGUCAAAAUCAAAUACAAUAACAUUCUGCAUAAUGCAGUGAAAAAGAAUACCCACAGACAAGGCACGGGUGGUGGGUCACCAAAAGCUGACCUCACCCCAGCAGAGGACAUAGCCUUGGAGCUAAAUAAAGGCAGGCCCGUGUAGGAGGGGAUCCCUGGGGGGAAAGAGACAAGCAUAGGUCCCUCCCUAGAUGCCACCCGCUUCAUACAAGUGUCUGGCAGCACUGUGUUACUGUUAGAGCCACCAGCACAAGCACCAGACGAUGCUGAUCCAGGUGAAGGCCCCAGUGCAGCAGCAACAGCACAUGACUGCGAUGAUGAGGAGACCAUCUCUCUGGAUUCCAGAAGGCAUGAGGACCCAGAAGCUGUACAGUGGGAAAGCCAGCCUGGCAACAUAGUGCGUAUUAAUGGAAGGACACUACAUCGUGCCAAAUUCCUGCUGCGCUAAUUGUAUUUUGUUCACAGAUCUCACAAGCUAUCAGACAGUUGUAUGGCAACCACCUCUGGUGCCAAAUAGAACUGGCAGAUAUAGACAUGCAGUACAAGAAGAAAAAGAUGGAAAAUCUUGCACUGGAGUCCGAAAUAAAAAAGAGGACAAUUAGGAAACUGGACCUU